ensembl:lncRNA
CAGGCGCUGGCGUCGAUUAUCACAAAAUCUUUGCUCAUUGGCCGCUCAAUGCCUUUAAAGGUUGUUUGAUGUCUCUUUGUGUUUAGAAGUUCUGGACCAAUGGAUUUGCAAGAGGUGUGGCCUAAUAGGUAGACACAUAACAGUAGGGGCCCUCUCCAGCAUGUCUCAGCAUGUUCACAUCGACUCUCUGAACAUUCCCCAAUGUUUCUAUGAUAUUUAAACAAUAGUUUGCUGAAAUGAGCUGUGCAGAUUUAUCCUCCAUGUCAGGAAAGUAGGAUUGGAAAUAUUGAAGCAAGUUGGUCAAAUGUCCCACUGUGACCGAAAUGACUGGACGUCCGUCCACAUCGUCAGUGGAGAGAGAGCAGAGGUCAGUCUCUGUUCCACAGCUCUGCUCUCUUCAGGAAGCUAAAUCCAGCGCGAUGGCAGAGGCUGACUCGCUGCUCCUGGAGGGAAAGUGGGAGUCUGGAAGCUGAUCAGACGGCCUGGUGCUCGGGGGCGGAGGAGCUGCCACCUUCAGCUACCUGGACGCUGAGGGGAGAUGUGGCCUCGGGCGGCCCUUCAGUCACAGUCUCACUGACUCACAUGCAGGCGGCGCCAUUGAAUCACCACUUAAAAACACAACCGUCAGCUGG